UUUCCUUACCAUGUACAGAUGGAAAACCUGGUGCAAUCCCUGAGAUGGACCAAAGAUACCACACAGAGUGCGGCUGAUGUGCAUAAUCUGAUCGGAAGCCCUCCAGUUUUUCGUCUCAGAUAUGGUUGGUUUCCAAAUGCUGAGCUUGGAACACCUCUUGAACUAUUGUCAUCUGCCAUUCCGUUUAUGCAAAAUAUUAACCCUAACAUCACAAAUGAAAAUAAUGCGGAAAUACUAGCAUCAUCCCCUGGUAAACUUGUACGAUUUUCUAAAGAACCACUAGCUUCUAAUCCAAGAAUGACUGUGACAUCCUCCUCAAUCAAGCUGUCUGGUGAGUCAAACUUGCAAGCAAGCAUGGGUCUAAAUACCUACACUUAUGAUCAUGAUGGAACUCUGCCAUUGAAUAGAAGGGAGAAUGGGGAUGCAACCACAGCAGAACAAGCUGAGAUGCAUGAUAUGCAGGGAAGCAAGGCCAGUGCUUUGUCGGCAGGGGAUUGGGAAGAUAGCCUUACCAACAUAAGUGUCGGAGAUCUUCUCUUUGAUGCACCUGAUGAUGAGGAAACAGACUGUAUUGACUCAGCUUUGUGCGGAAGCUCUCAUUUUCUCUCACAGAUGCCAUUAAGCUGUGACUCGUUUGAUGCAGCGAUUGCUGCUCAUAUAUAUAAACAUCAAAGCAAAGCUGAUUCUCAGAUGGCUCUUCCACCUCAAGCAUCUUCCAUUUGGAAUGCUGAAGAUACAUGUGAUGCUUUUGCAUUCAAGAAAAAUGUUGCUUUCAGUGACAAAUCGCAGUGUUCAUCCAGCAAUGUUGGUGCAGAGAAUUCCCAGCGGAUUGCUCAGUCAUCUUCCCUGGUAUUGGAUGCAGUAAUCAAGGAUUUGCCUGGGAACAUGGAGUCCUUUAACGGUGAACCUGCUCAUGAUGACGCAGUGGAUGAGUGUCAAUCGGAUGCACAGGCGUUGGAUGGUUCUUCAAAGGAUCUUAAUGGGCUCUCUGGCAUAUAUUGGACAGACUCUUUAGGACCGCUAGAACUGGACGCCCCUUCAUGUAGAUAUCAUAGUGAAGACAUAACUCUGAGUGAUAGUCUUGGUGGUUUUAACCGCCUCAUAGUUAACAGUCUAGAUGCAUUCCAAAAUUGCUCGUUCUUUGGGUUGGACAAAACAGAGCCUGGAUCUACUGUUGAACCUGUAAAGACUUCAGAUUUG
rnacentral:misc_RNA from 1 species